rnacentral:rRNA from 1 species
UAGGGAAUCUUCCACAAAUGGACGCAAGUCUGAUGGAGCAACGCCGCGUGAGUGAAGAAGGUUUUCGGAUCGUAAAGCUCUGUUGUUGGUGAAGAAGGAUAGAGGCAGUAACUGGUCUUUAUUUGACGGUAAUCAACCAGAAAGUCACGGCUAACUACGUGCCAC